GGUUUCUCUGUGUAGCCUUGGCUGUCCUGGAACUCACUCUGUAGACCAGGCUGGCCUCGAACUCAGAAAUCCACCUGCCUCGGCCUCCCAAGUGCUGGGAUUAAAGGCGUGCGCCACCAAUGCCCG
ensembl:miRNA Gm25195 predicted gene, 25195